AUUGAACGCUGGCGGCAGGCCUAACACAUGCAAGUCGAGCGGAGCGGCGGACGGGCGAGUAAUGCCUAGGAAUAUGCCUGGCAGUGGGGGAUAACGUACGGAAACGGGCGCUAAUACCGCAUACUAUCAGAUGAGCCUAGGUCGGAUAAGCUAUUUGGUGGGGUAAAGGCCUACCAAGGCGACGAUCCGUAGCUGGUCUGAGAGGAUGAUCAGUCACACUGGAACUGAGACACGGUCCAGACUCCUCCGGGAGGCAGCAGUGGGGAAUAUUGGACAAUGGGCGAAAGCCUGAUGCAGCCAUGCCGCGUGAGUGAAGAAGGUCUUCGGAUUGUAAAGCACUUUAAGUUGGGAGGCGUUACCAACAGAAUAAGCACCGGCUAACUACGUGCCAGCAGCCGCGGUAAUAC
rnacentral:rRNA from 1 species